rnacentral:tRNA from 1 species
GUUUUUGUAGUUUAUAUUUUAAAACACAACACUGAAAAUGCUGAAAUGAAAUUUACCAAUUUCCAUAAACA